CCCGCCCUGACGGUGCAGCAAAACUGGAAUCCUCGUCCCCACCGUGGACUUCUUUCCCUUUUACGGCAUCUGCGGGUGCGACUCUUCAACUUGCUGUAAAGUGAAACUGCUUCCCGGGCGUGUAGGAGUUGGAGAAUGAGUGGAUUUGUCCUGUGUACCUAGUAGCCGACUGACUUCUGAAUGCGGUUUUCACAGCGAUGAUGGUCCAAGGGAAAAAAUGUCCAGUUCAGCCUGCAACUCAAAAACUGUACGAAAGUUUUUUUCCAAGAAAUAAUUGUAUUUCUGGAUGGCAUCAGUGGCAAUUUACACAUACUUCCCCUUUUAUCAACAGAACAUUAAGCUUGUGAAGAAGAUACCUGCUUUUCUCUCUGCCCUGAUUGCAGUUCCUUUAGGGUGUCUAUAAGUUGCCUGGGAAGUGGAUGAGUUUCAAACUGGCAAUACUCUGCCUUCCUCUGCUUGAACUGGAGAAACCCUGCUUAUUGGAGUAUCUGGAAGGAGGCUACACACAAAUUAGCAGGAAAUAAGUGACAACAAAAUUUAUCAGUUAAGAAGUGACCAAAGAAUUAACUGCAACCCCCAUCUGGUGCACUGUCACAUGGUGAAGUGUUAAGUGACAAUAGCAAUUUUUGGGAAUCUGGUUCAGAGAAUCAUGAAAGACCAGCGGAGGCAUCACUGUGAGCAAGAGUUAUAACCACAAUAUUUAACCAUCAAUAGGAAGAGGACUUAAAGCAAUCAGAAUACAUCAACAUCAUCAACUAUGAUGGGAGCUUAUUUAUUUUAUUCUGCAGUUUUCUGGAAAAAUUACUUAACUUCUGAUUCUGACAAGACAGCAUGAAACUAUUCAAGUAAGUGUCUCUAAAAUGAUAAUUUUUAUAUCCAUGGCACUUCUCAAGAACUACUGAUAUCAUCUCAUCUAAUGACUUCUUGGAUCGACAACACAGAAAAACUAUUUUCCCACAAAAAUGUGCUCUUUGUGGUAGACUAGAUUCCAAAUGUAUAUGUUUCCUUGACUCUUGAAAGGUAUUGUUAAAAUGAUGUGAGAAAAAUCCCAUUUUAAGAACUAUGUUACCAGGUUACUUUAAAUUUCUCUCAGUAUGCUAAUGAAAUGCGGAGCUAGAUCUAGGCAUUUUUGUGCUACAGGCAAUUUUUUCUCUACCUAUUGCCUUUUCCUCUACUUUGCUUUAUGGACUGUCACAACAGAGUCUCCUUUGGAAUCCUCAGAGUCAAGCUCUUUGGAAGUAGGAACUACUUUUGGUUAUCCUCAAAUAAGCAGGUAAAAUGGCCAUCUAUCUUGCUUAAGAGAUCUUAGUUUUAAUGACCUUAUGUAUUGAUAAUUGACACUUAGCCUGAUACUCUGCUAAGUAUUUUUCAUUCAUUAUCACAAUCCUAUGGGGCAAGUACUAUCGUUCUCAUUUUACAGAAGAGGAAACUAAGGAUCAGAGACACUGAAGACUUACAUGAUUUUUUGUCGCUAGAAAGUGGUGGACCUUCAAUAUCACUCAGGCCUUUGUACCUCCAAGGUCCAGGCUCUCAACCUCUCUGUUCUACUGUUACGUUCAAGGCUUUGGAGUUCCUUGUUUCUUCACAAUCUGUUGAACCCCAAUCAACCUUCCUGAGACUCGCAAUCAUAGUUUUUAAUUUUUUUGUAAUACUUGUUACAUUUUUGCUUGAAAGUAAUGAUGCUAAUCACUUAGCGAGCCUUUCUUUCUUUCUUCUCCUUCCUUCCUUCCUUCCUUCCUUCCUUCCUUCCUUCCUUCCUUCCUUCUUUCCUUCCUUCCUUCCCUUCUUCCCUUCUUCCUUCCUUCCCUCCUUCCUUCCUUCCUUUGACAAUCUGAAAUGUUUUUAGUAUGCAGAACUGGUUUAGGAUUUUUACAACUAUUUCAUUCGAAUUUUUACUCACUUGUUUUUUGGCCUGAGUACUUUGUCUUUCAUGAAUUUUUUUAUAUAUUGGUCUAUGACUCACUGAAUUAGAAAAUACAGUUACUGAGUUGAGAAAUAGCACUAAUGGCAUAAAGUUUAAGGAGCCAAUUUAGACCUUCUUUUGGUUUCAAAGACUUAGAAAAUUGUAGCCACUUCUGUACAAAAUAUUCAUAUUACAUUAAGAGUGAAUGAACUAUUAAAUAAAAUGCAAAGUCAGAAGACUUAGCCUUGGGUUAUCAUCUGAAUAUUCCUUUUGAUUUAUUGUAUGGAAUAGAAUACAUCUUCUGCUGCUUUACAUUUUCUCCUUCUUCUCUUUCUUCUCUUCUUCCUUUUUAUUUCUUCCAUUUUAGUGUCUAAAAAUUAGCCAUGACAUUGUUUCAUAUACUUAUUUACAAUAAUAUUAUAAGGAUUGGCUAAUUAAUUUGUCAGAAAGGGAUAUUAUUACCUAGUGGAGUAAAACAUCUCCUCUUUCUCUGUUCCCACCUUUGUAGAAGGAAGCUUUUGUUCAUAAAACACACUGAAUUUGAGGGAAAAAUGGCUACACAUGUGUUUAUAAAAUAAGCCUUUCUAGAAAGCGGAUGAAUCAAACUGGGGCAAAUUCUUUAUAUUGUAUACUAAGAUUGGGGAGGAAGAAAGGGAGGGCUGAAAGCGUAGAUACCAAACUGGUAUGCUGAUGGAAGACAUAUAUAUAUGUAUAUACACAUAUAUGAUAUGUACAUUUAUGUAAUAUGUAAUAUAUAUAUGUGAUGGUUCUUAUAUCAAUAUAGAAUUUUAAUAUAUUCAAUUUGUGACGAAUUAAUUUCUAAAAAUUUUCAUAGUUCUUUGGAAAAUAUUUCUUCUAAAAUCAGAGAAAACAGGUAAGGUUUGGAGUUUUUCUAUUCUACUUCUGAACAUGAAUUCAUUAAUGUAAGCAUGUAGCUAUGCAUGCUAUUUUUACAAACUGAGUAAUCUCAUUUCUGUUCAAAUAUAUUGUGUAGAAAAUUUGGACAAAUGCUUUUAGCUUAAGAAAGUAAUUGACCAAAAUAUAACCUUGUUAAUGUCUGUUAAUUUAGUUAACAUUAAUGGUAUAUGGCAAUUAUACUUUGGCAAAUACUACAAAAUACUAACAUGCUAACUUUUAGGUCACACAUAGGUACUAAGUACAAUGUGUUUCUCCAAAUUUAUUAUGAUGUCAGGUGUAACUCUAUUCAUGGUAUCAAUUUUGAAAGUUUUUCAUGUUGAAAAUUUGCCUCUUUAUUACAUAGAAAAAAAAGUUGUUAUAAAAUUGAAAAUAAAGACGAAGCAAAAGAUGAUUUUUUUUCCCAAAUUGUGAGAACUGCUACCCAGGUGAGUACUGGAAUAUCAAGGAACUCCUAGGUAACAUUUUUGUGGACUUUGUAAAAUGUAAAAAAAUUAUUGUAUAUUCUUGGUUUAACCUUUAACAGUAAUAGCAACAGUAAUAAUAGCAGCUAACACGUAUUGAAUGAUUACUGUAAGUUAGAAAGGAUGAUAGGUGCUUUGUGUGUAUUAUAGUACUUAACAUACAAUAACAUUACAAAAUAGGCAGUGAUAUUACCUAUGUCUUACAGAUGAAGAAACAAAGCUCAGGCAGGCAGACUGGCUGGCAGAAGUUCACAGAGCUGUGUCAGCAGCACAGCCUGACAGGAAUCCACAUCUGUUCAAAGCCAAAGACGGUGUUCUUAAGCGUCAUGCUCUUCAUCAGUGCUGUGCUGGCAGCCUAAAAGAACACCGGCACUUCCCAAAAGUAGCUCAUUUCUUUUUCAGGGAUUAAAUAUACACUCUGGACCUCAUACACAUGAAAUAUGUUAGGGCUGUUUAUCAGAAGAUGGAAAACUUUUAAGUUUUGGAAACAUUUUAUUGAAGAACUCAUGAAUAUGGGAAAAUAAUAAGCAUUCAACAUUGAAUUGAAAUGUUUUUGAUAUUUUAACAAACAAUAAUUAAAUAAAACAUAAAUUUAGGGAGUUACAGCAACAUUUUAAAUAAUUAAGUUUAGAGAAGAAUGAUGUUUCCUUACUGUUUUUGCAAAAGACGCUCAUGGCCAGUCUCAUUCAUAGGAGAGUCUAAUUUCAGAGUGGAUGAAAGAAUCAGAAUUUUGCAGCUGAAGAGACUUUAGAAGUCAUCCAGAUAAAUCACUCUGAGUUUUCUAGACAGAGGCUUGUCUCAUUUUUCCUUAAACACCUCUAGUGAUGGAAUGUGCUAUGCCUUCUGGGGCAUCACAUUUCAUCCUAACAGCUCUUGUUAGUUCUUUCUUUCAAUAGAGUCCAAAUCUACAUCUGUAAUUUCCACCCCAUUGCUUCCUUGUCUUUCCUUUUCCAAAUAACAGCCCAGAUCUUUUCUUUCUCUUGCCCUAAUUCCCUAUUUUUCUCAAGUACUACAUAUGUAACAUGGUUCUGGGUCCUCUUGUCAUUCUGAUUGAUUUUCAUAGUAUAUAUGUUCCUUUUCUUUAAGUUCAUUCUUAAGUGUGUGAUUGCAAACAAAAGACAAUGCACAAAGAACUGUUAGUAAAUUGCAGAAAAAAAUAGCACUAUCAUUUUCCUUGAUUCACAAUGUUUUCUGUGAAUAGUACAUGAGAAUACUAACCACAAAAACAUACAAUAAAAAUUAUCAGCCUGCUGUUUACUCAGACUAAAUGUAAUGAAAAACUUAAUCAAUAAUGCAACAAUACAACAUGAGGAUUAUAGUUAAUAGAACUGUAUUGGGUGUUUUGUUCAAUAAAUAGAUUUUUAGCUGCUCUUGUCACACAAAAAAGUGUGUGAGAUGCUUCACUAUAGUAACCAUAUACAUAUACAUAUAAUCAUAUGUGUAUUACAUAACAUCAUGUUGUAAACCUCAAAUAUAUGCAAUAAAAUUUAUUUGAAAAACUAAUAUGACAAUACAAUUGCUCUUGCUACCAGCACAGUUUGAAUUCAAAACUUUAGACUAAUUAUAGACUACAGAAAAUACUUGGUCACAGAAAACGUUAGUCUUUUUAAGCUGCAUCUAACUUGAAUUUCUCCCUCUUCUCACCCAUGCUUGUUUAAUGACUACCCAUUAUUCUGUCGCCUCACCUUCUCUGUCUUCUAAGAAACUGCCCCUAAAUAUUUCAGCUUUGGUUGAGCUGCUUCUUUCUUAAAUUCUUAUUGAAAGUUAAAAUUUUGUUAAAAAUAUCUUCAGUUAAUAAUCUACCAAUAAAAAAUUAAUAAUGUUGAUGUUUAUGACAUCUAUUAUUUAUACAAAAUCUAAUAUUACCAUUUCUAAAAAAAUCUAAACAUUAAUUAAAGAGAACUAUAAAGCUCAACGUAGUACUGCUCUAAGUAGUUUUGUAAUACAAGUUAGAAUUUAAUAUUGAAUGCCUUGGAUUAAUUUUAAGACUUGAUAAAUAUGUUCUGAUCUCAUAACCCAGUUUUAUCCACAAUAAGUGAACUAUUCUUAAUAUUGGAAAUUGAGUAAAUUGUUGAAAGUUGUAGUGUAAUGAAUGACAUGCAAUCAGUUAGAACCACUUAACAAUUCUUUUAAUAAAUGAGCAUAUUCAAAGUCCACAAGACUUUGGUUCUGAGUUGUAAAUUAAUUAAAAGGUGAGCAGCUCCCUUCUUUGUUUUCAGUAAAUACAUUUAUUCAAUUCCUUUCAGUAAAAAUGAUUAUUUCCUCAGAAUUCUAAUUAAAAUUCCAGUUACUUAAUUCUUUUGACCUCUAAAUAAUAUACUUCCUUAAUGUGCAUUUGUGCAUUCAAGUUCUUAUUCCAUGUAAUGUGCAUUUGUAUAGUCUCCCAGUAUAAACUGAAGUUUGCUUGCUUGUAAAAAACAUAUUGUUUUUACCCACUGCAAGAUUUUAGAGGGAGCAUAGGGUCUGCAGCCUGAUCCAUCUGAAGGAAUGUUUACCUCCAGUAUCUCUGUCUUGUUCAUUGCAAACAUAGCUCAUUUUUGUCCUUGUCUGACAGAUUUUCUUUUCAAUGAAACAUUUUGGUCUUUUCAUAAAUGCAAUUUUUGCCUAUUAACCACUCUGUACCUCUAUAUCUUCAUCUGUAAAAGAAGAGUAAGAAUGGUUCUUUCUUACAGGGUGUUGUGAGUGUUAAAUGUGUUAAUACAUACAAAGCAUUUUAAACACAGUGAAUAGCAUGCUGUUAGUAGUAGUAGCUUGUGAAAGUGAAUAAUAUGCUGUUAAUAGCACAUAGUGAAUAAUGUACUGUUAGUAGUAGUAGCUCGUGAAAGUGCCUGUUACCAGGUAGUAAGGGAAUCCACAGUUCUUAGUUGUCUGGGGAGAAAGAUUUCGGCCAAGUGACAAUUCAGAUAACAGAGAGUUUUAUUGAAGGGAAAUGGAUAGCAGAGAGUUUAUAGAUAGAGAGACGGUACAUUGAAAGGUGAGGCCGGACGGGUUGCCAGAAGAGGGUGAACCAGCAGCAGCCCCGGAGUUCUGCGUUGGGUUUUGAUAGAUUUUUUCUUGAAGUUAGCUCCUCUUUCUUUAGUCUCUGCCUUUUUUCUCUGUCUACUUUUCCCGCUCCUGCCUUCAAUCCCUGCCUUUUCUCCACCUAGUUCCUACCCCAGGUUUGUAGGACCCUCCCUUACUAUUAGUUGGUGUGCACACGUGCGCUCGAUGUUUGGAUCUCAAAUUUAUCUAAUGGCUGCGUUGCUCAUUACCGCCACCCCCAGGAAGGUUGUUUAGCGGGUCAAAUCUAUACUUACUGUGCCUGCGAAUCUCUGACAAAUUUUCUCCUUUGAACUCUUCCCGUUUAUCAGCAUGUACCUAGUGACAUUCUGACAUCUUAACUGUAGAAUGAGUGAUUACUAGGCAUCUUAAGGAGCACUGCUUCCUGUAUAGGUUUUUUUUCCCUCCUCUUGGCUCGUAUCUGCAUGCAUGUUUCGGGUGGUCUCUGGGGUGUGAGAUUAUCCAGACCUCCUUUUUCUCAGGGGCUCUCGCUCCUGGUCAUGUCUAGCUCUAGCUGUCUGCAUACUGUAACACUACCACAACACAACACUAGUUGAAGUAAUGCUAAAUAAUCAAUAUGCCAGAUUUCUCCCCUACAAAAUCUAUAGCAAUGGUAGUCAUUUUGCUGACAUAGAAUAACAACAAUUUGGUGAUUUUUUGCCUUUUUGCUCCAUUAAGACUCCUGGAUGAACUAUAAAUUCAACUUAGGUUUAUACAAAAUAAUUUGAAUUAAAGAAAUAUCAAGUGGAAAAAUUUGUUCAGCAGGUGGAAAUAUAUUAAAAUUAGGGAAAGUAUUAUUUAAAAAUUUUGCUUUUUAAUAUACUUACAUUCAUUUUUAUUAUCAUUAAAAUUUUUAUUUGUUUCAAAUCCUUGUGGAAUUAUGUCUCAGAUUACUCAACUUCAUGGUUGGUCCAUUGGUUGAUGCUGUUGAAUGAAAAUAACAUAUUCUAGAACUAUCCUUACGUGAACCAAUAACAGAGAGGCUAAGUAGUUCUACCCUGGACUGAGAGUCAGUAAUGUAGUAAUUUAUUCUGUCGUUUUCCAAAUAAUAAAUGUAUAUUGACUGACUGCAUUAGUAAGAAACUACUCUGUAUUCACAGGCCCUUCAAAUUUUUAAAGAAACUUAGAUUCAUCAAAAGCUUGGGGCAUAUAGUCAGAUCCUUCCUGAAGGUCCUCACAUUAACAAAGAACCUUACUUUGGAGCCCAGAAACUUUUCUUACAGAACCAAAAUUCAGGAUAACAGCACUA